rnacentral:rRNA from 1 species
AUGCAAGAUUAUUUUGCGGAGAAUCCUACCUAUCCUGCACACCUCUUCCGCAGAAGGUACCGAAUGCGCCGAUCCCUCUUUGUGAAACUUGCGAGGCAAAUUGCCGGUAUUUUAUCCCAAAGAAGAAAUGUCGCGGGCUUAAAGGGAUUUAGUGCAUAUCAAAAAAUCUCCGCAGCGAUGCAGGUGAUUGCAUAUGGCGUUCCGGCUGACUAUGCCGAUGAGUAUCUUCGCAUUGGUGAAGAUAGCACAAUUGAGUCUGUGCGUAGAUUUGCGAAAGUAAUCGUCUGUGUCUUUGGUCCUGAGUAUCUUCGGGCACCCAAUGAAGAUGACACAAAGAAAUUGAUGGCAGCUAAUGAGAGGAGAGGUUGGCCUGGCAUGCUAGGUAGCAUUGAUUGCUUGCUAGUGGUG